AUCCUCGUCAUAAAAGGCCUGGACACCACUCACUGUCGUCUUAGUGAUAGGACUCUCUGGUGAAGGUAACACGAUCAAUGUUCAAUUCAGUCUUCGCGUGAAAUUUGAGAUAAAAUUGUUUUAAUGAAGAGUGGUUAUUGAACAAAGAGAUUCGUUCCAGUAAAACCUUCCAUCUUGACUGGAUUUGAUGAAUUCUGAAGAAUCAAAUUCACAUGAAAAAUCCGAUGUAACCUAUCCUGAAACAUCUACGAGAAAAAAUUGACGUCAGCAAUAACAGUAACACGUGAUCAGAAUAUGAGAACAUCUUCGGCAUGCGCACCUUCAACGUCACUUCAACAUUUCUAAAGCGUUCAUUAGCAACGUCGUGAUCAAGAGACUUCCAAACACGCUCUGCCUAGUAGAGAAAAUAUACAAUAUGUUCAAAAUAAGCAAGAACUAUCAAAUAUCAAUACACCACCACAGGCCACUGGAGGAACCUCAGACACGGAUAAUUCGAGCUCCGUUAAAGUCUUUUCCAUUUCUUUAGCCUCCUGAGUGAUGUGAUUAGCAAUCUGGAAACGUUCGACUUUCCAGUUGAAUGACGACCCUUUGAAUCCACGCAAUAAGAUCUUUACUCUCCUCGCAAUAUUGUUCGUACUUUAAAACAUUUUCCUACAACACAAACCAGCUGCUAAAUACAAGGAAUCGCUGAAUCCUCGAUAAAAAUCACCC